UGCACUUUGACCCAGCGUGCGUGCACGUCCUC
rnacentral:piRNA from 1 species